CAGUGUUCCAUGUGGAACUUCCAGGCAGGGCACUGGGGCACAGUAGGAGGAACCCAGAAGAUGCUGCCUCUCCUGAUCAUCUGUCUCCUGCCUGCCAUUGAAGGGAAGAACUGCCUCCGCUGCUGGCCAGAACUGUCUGCCUUGAUAGACUAUGACCUGCAGAUCCUCUGGGGGACCCCAGGGCCACCCACAGAACUUUCUCAAAGCAUUCACUCCCUGUUCCUAGAGGAUAAUAAUUUUCUCAAACCCUGGUACCUUGAUCGUGACCAUUUGGAAGAAGAAACAGCCAAAUUCUUCACUCAAGUACACCAAGCCAUUAAAACAUUACGAGAUGAUAAAACAGUACUUCUGGAAGAGAUCUACAUGCACAAGAAUCUCUUUACUGAGAGGUUGAAUAAGAUAUCUGAUGGGCUGAAGGAGAAGGCCUGCAAUGAGUCCUGUGACAUACAGUCCACACUGAAGGUCACCAGCUGUGCUGACUGCAGGACUCACUUCCUCUCCUGCAAUGACCCCACUUUCUGCCCAGAUAUGUGCUGGGCGCACAGCGUGCUCAGUAAGUGUUUGCAAACACAUCAUGAGUGAACGAAUCAAAGAAUGAGAGGAUGGUGGCCUUCUCUCUGAGUUGAGGUAGCCCUGCCUGGCCUCCAAACACCUGGCUUCCUCUUUCACACCCCAGCCAGGAACCGGCGGACCUCCCUAUGGGCUGUGAGUCUCAGCAGUGCUCUACUCCUGGCCAUAGCUGGAGAUGUUUCUUUUACUGGCAAAGGAAGAAGGAGGCAGUAAAGCAGGAACAGGGCAGCCCGCAUGUCUUCCAGAAGUGAACAGAGGCCGCAGCUACCACCGUCACAAAGUUCACUCAUCUCUGGGUCCCGGUGACCCCAUCCCCCCAUACCCUCCAUCCUGGGUCCUGGGGCCCCAAAGCUCUGAGGCCUAGGAGACUGCGCUGUCUCGUGGUUUGCCUACUCCUACACCUUUGUAAAGAGUCUCUUCAUUAAAACCCCUCUUCAUAGCCUA